rnacentral:pre_miRNA from 1 species
GGUCAGAUGAUGUCCACAAAUUAGUAUUUAAGAAACUUAAUUUGCGACUAAAUCUAGACC